GUGAAGCUCAUCACUUAACUGAUUAAUUUUCUUUUAAUGAAAUUAACCAUACAAUUCAACUAAAUUCAACUCAAGAUGCUUCCUGAAAAUGCAACAUUCCUAAACAAUACCUAAACCGGGAAAGAACACGAUUUCUGAAAGAAUUUUACUGGAGCGAAUGCAAGAAGAAGCAGAAAUUAAUCAAUCUGGAUUCCGAAAAGUCAAUUUGGAUUUAGGGAAAGUAAAGCAGCUAUACAACACGCGGCGAGUUUCAUUAGUACGUUGGAUAGUCUAGGAGAUGGUAUUUGAUGUUGACUUCGUCUGGAAAAGUGGGUUGCUCACAAAGAUGAUCAAAGCCAAGCUGGAAGAGAACCUAAUCAAAAUGACGGCUUCUUUUUUUCAAGAAUAAGUACUUCUGAUAUGCUGGAAGCUAUAAAGAAAAAGACGAGGCAUUAAUCCAAUCACUUCGUGACGAUUUAGA
rnacentral:misc_RNA from 1 species